UUAGAAUUUUGUUGUGUUUAUUUGAUUUUUUCUAAUGUAUUGUUAUUUGCUUGUAUGAGUUUGGAAUGUAUUGUGCGUUUGUUGUUUAUUUGGGAAAGGAAUUAAAAGGAAUGGAAGUGUAAACAAAGGUUUCACGGUUUCCAAUGAUUGGUUUAAUGAAAAGAAAUAAAAGAAAUUCAAUAUUUUGGGGCCAUUAUCAAGAAUUUUUACAUAAGUAGUUGAGUUGGCCACUUGGACACGCACACUAGGCUAACACGUUUAGCGAAUGAAAGAAGCGUAGGACAUUUGUGUCGUUUUCUCUUCUCCAAAAUUCUUUUAGGUCCCUUGCAUAUUUUUUACUAAAGAUAGAAUGCCUCAUAUUUUUUUUCCCUUUUUCUUGCCAUUCAAUUACUUCCUGCCAAAUAUAGUAGUAAAGUUCUCGUUAUAUUGUUGGCAUUGUCGAUCCAUCCUCAUUGUUAAAGUCAAGUCCAGGUCCUUAUCGAAUUAAGCUCAAAGAUCAUCCAAUCUCUACAUUCAUUUUAUGCAUGCUAUCAACAUUUCAAAGAUAAUUUAAGUGUAUUAUUUUCAUGUUGUAAUUGAACUCUAAGUAGUUGGUCAUUGGUUUGUAAUAAUUUUAAAAAGUUUAGUUAGUAGUUAAACAUGGCUAUGUUGUGAACUAAAGCUAGAAAAUACAAGAAACAAGCUAAAGAAUUCCACGCUACAAGUUAAGGCAACUGCAAUGUUGAAAGUUACAAUGAAAUGUAUGCAUGGAAGUUAAGGAGAUUAUAGGCUGAAGUAACAAUCAAGUGGAGCAACUACAUGGGCGUGCCUAAGGAUGUGUGAAGCUUGCGCUAAGGGAGUUAAACAAAGCAUUCAUGGGUAGUUAUUAAAAUACCCAGUAGAUGAACAUGUGCAAUAACGACUUUCCAAUGUGAUGCAUUGUUAGGGUGUUGUAACAUCUUUUUGGAUGCUAAGAGUAGUGACCACAAAAAAAUGAUACUUAGACAUCUCACUUGCCAUCUCUAUACUUUUCAAUGUUCGCAUCCAUUUUGGAAGCCCAAAAUUAAUAAUAAAGGCCAAAUAUCAUCAUGCAAGUGGAGUUUAAUCUUUUUAAAAUUUCUUAUUCUUUUUGCUUAAGCAUGAUGCUAUGGCGAGCAUAGAAGAAGUCUUACUUAAGCAUGAUGCUAUGAUGCUAUGGUGAGCAUAUAUCAUUAUUUUUUAAAUUUGAGCAUCCUACUUAAGCAUUUACCUACAACAAACAGAAACACCCUUUAACACUCCAUUCUCUAUCCUUUGGGAAUCUUUCUUUGGCAUCCCAUUGGAGGUGAUCCUAAUCCUACAAUACAACAUGGAUAAAAGUAAUUCAAGAGUGAGAAUUUGAGGGAAGUUACUUUGAUCAUGGGCAUACGCAUGGAAAUUACGCAACUUCCAACUUCCGAAUGUUGGCUUCUUCAUUUGUGCUUUUAAUUCUGAUUUAUUUUUGCUUUGUUUAAGUUUCUUAUAUAAAUAUGCAACUAGGUUGUCAUUUGCAAAUGUUGAAGAAUUAAUGAAAAAGUCAAACACUUGUUCACCCAUUGUCAUAAGUUGUAGGAUUGAAUUUUAUUAAAUAAAGUGUGAAUUGUGAUCAUAGGGAUCUUUAGUUUUUCUUUAUGGUGUGCCUUCUCAUUGAAGAGCAAAGCUUGAUGCUUUGUUUCUUUGCUAUGCCAUCUUUAAAAAUUCUACUUGAUUGGUUUUGUGUUGUGACUAAUCAAAGCAUCUUAUUUACACUCAUAGCAUUCCAUUCUUUCCCAAUCUCUAUCCCAAAUGUAUUUUGUCCCUUAAGUACUUAAACUUAGUCGAGUAAUCAUUUGAUCGGCCCAUAUCCUAGCCCAAAUUAUUUGGGUGCUUGAUAUUUUGGUAUAAUUUUGGUCGAGACAAUGAAUUUUUUUACUAUAGGUCAGUAUUGUCACUAUUUAUACACAUUACUAAUUACAAAUUUAUUGCUCCAUAUUAAGUAGAAACACUUCCACUCUUGCAUUCUUAUGCCAUAUCACUCAUCCUCUUUUUUUCUUCACCCAUCUUCAAUGAUAUCCUAUUCUCUGUAUAAUCAAAAUAACAAUGGGGGAUUUUGGCAUGCCAUUAACCUUAUUGUCCGACCUAGGGGUUGGGCAAGAGGUGCACUGCUCAGGGCCCAUGAUUGAAAAGGCCCGAUAUUGGUUUUUAUACAUAUAGAAAACUGCAAUAUACCGAAGAAAUAUACUAACGGCUUGUUUGGUAAUCGGUAAUAAAUGGUGGAAAUGGUAAUGGAAGAUUAAUGUAAUUUUAAAACAAAUAUCUUUUGACAAGUUAAAUGGUCAUGGUUAUACUCCUCCACUAAUUUCAUUUUCUUCAUAAAAGUUAUUUUAAUGCAUUACCAUUUGAACAUGUGAUAUUAGGUGAUAAUUGAAAAUUAAAAAGAAUUUUUUUUUAUAAUCAAACUUUCAUUACCAUGGAAAUGAGAAGUGAAAAUUUACACUACAAAUAUUCUCAUUCCCACCAUUUAGUACUGAUUACCAAACGGUCCGUAAAGGUUAUGAGGAGAGAGAAGAAAUGGGGGCCUUCAAUUUCGGUAUUUCGAGCCUUCAAUUCAAGUAUUGCUCAGUAAUUAAUGCUUGAUCCUUCAAAUCUUUUCUUUUUAUUAUUUUCUCAAUUUCAUUGAGGUUUUCCAUUUUCUAAAGCUCCAUUACAUCAAAUAGAAAUCAUUUCUCUAAAAAUUCUUCUACUCAAACUUCACAAUUUUUCUUGUUCAACUCCGGGCCAUAUUCUUUGUCGUCACUCGUUGAUCUCGUCAUUUGGUAGUUGGAGGAUAAGGUUUUCAAUUAUUUGGUUAAGUUUGGAUACACAUGUAAUUAACCUUGAUGAUUAUUGCAAUUACUAUACGGAAUCUUAUUAUAGCAAUAUUAACAACUUGAAGUUGUAUGGGCUACCCAUUUGGUACAAAUUGAGACGAAAUAGGUUUCUUUUUAAGUUAAUUUAUGUUCUCAUUUAUAAUUCACAAUGAUUAUUAGUUAUAAUUCUAGUUGUUGUAGCUCGAGUUACUUUUGCUUCACAUUGUUCUUCAUCAUUAUAAUAAUGAUAAAAUCAUUUUACAUCACCACAAAAAAUAAUAAUAAACUUAAUUUCCCUACAAUGUAUAUUUAUUGGAAGAGGAAAACCUUUGUUUUUACUCGGACAUUAGAAGAGAGGGAGAGGAAAAAGAAAGAUUUGAUUUUAUUAGUGAUUUGGCAAGAUAAAUGUUUGAUAGAAAUUAUAAUUGAUUUUAUAUCGCUUUUUUAUGGCAUUAUAAAAGUAUCCUUUUUUUUUAAUUAUAUUUAAAAAAAAGUAAGUGCAGCCCUUAAUUUAUCUGUCGCUGUGGGCCCUUAUAUUCUCAGGGCUAGUCCUGAUCCUACUCUAUAAAUUUGCCUAUUUUUUUAUUUCAUCUGAAUUUCGAAGGUCUUUUUGCAUCUUUAUGGUAUCAUUGUUACUUUUGCUUGACACUAUAAAUUAGGGUUUUAAUAUUAUCUCACUUUGGAAAUUUUUUAUUAAUUGUUUUUUAGGGAAAAGAAAAGAAAAUUAAGGGAGAUUUACAUUGAAAUUACAUAGAAGUCUUUAUUUGAAGGAGUGAAAUGAUAUUGAAUGAAAAAUAUUGAUGAAAUUGAUGAAGAAAAUAAUCAAAUUGUGUUUGAUAUGCAAAUGUUGAGUUAUAUUGAAAUGAAACCAUUGAUUUCAUCUUACUUAAAAGAAUUGAUCACAAAGACAACAAGAUGGCCGAGAAAUAGAAGGACGAUGGAGAUUGGUGGGAUAGGAGAGGGAGUAGAGGUGAAUAAUUCCAAGUAGGUUAGGGGUCAGUAGGUAAUUGGGGAAACGUGGUAUGCGGCCCAUGACCUGACUCGGAAUUAUUAUAAAUUUUAUUAAGAAUAUUGACCCGCCAUUAAGACACUCAAUUGUUGGGUUGGGUCAAAUGGGUCAGAUAUUUUUUGAACACCCCUAAUUCAAAAUACUUCAAUCUUUUCUUCCUUUGUUCAUUCGUAAGUCCCAUCUUACUUUAACUGUUUAUCUCUUUGCUAAUCCUUCCUUUCAUCUCCUUUGUAAGCAUUUCAUAUCCUUACGCUUUUAAGGUUGCAAUUCAUCCUUAAAAACCAAACAAAACAUUCCUCUCAUCUUGGAUCAUAUUCAGCAUCAUCUUUUCUCCCCCCUUGGAUUCAUUGCUUUAAUUUGUUUGUAGCUGUUAUGCCAACAGAGGGUCCUAAGGGUAUUUUCAUCUAUCAUAGAAGAGGAAAAACAGGUGAGGUGACAAUGAUUACAAAGGGGGGAUGAAUGAUGUAACAGAGUUUUGAUGAGGAUAUUCUAGAAUGAGCAUCUUUUGUAACCAACUUAGUUUUGGCUGCAAGUUGUUAUAGCUUAAACAACCUAUAUAUACUCAUAUGUAGUAAUUGGUUGAAUCAUCAAUGAAUAUGCUCACUAUCAUUUUUUCAUUAUCCCUCUUUUUCUUAAAUUCUCUUUUUUCAUUCUAAUCUUCUAUCUAUUCCCUUCUCUUCUAUCUUCUCUAUCUCCUCUCUAUUUCUUUCUAAAUUCCCUUCUCAAUUCUUUGUUACAGGGCUUAGCUCACCACAACGUGGUAUUAGAGCAAUUGGAAAAGAAGGAGGUUGGACUUACCUACCUUUUCUGGUGGGAAUCCCGAUGGGUGGAUAUUUAAGGCUGAACAUUUUUUCUCCUUUUACAAUCUUACGGAGGAAGAAAAAAUAGAAGCCGCCGUAGUGAGUAUGGAAGGUGAUGCUUUAUUUUGGUGUCAAUGGGAAGAACAAGAAUAGAGUGUUACCCAGUGGAGGGAAUUGAAACAAUUUCUUCUGAGGCAUUUUCGACUUCAUAAUCAAGGGGGACUAGAGGAGUAGUGGUUGGCGGUGAGGCAACUACGAAGGGUAGCAGACUAUGCAAAGGAGUUUGUGGAGAAAUCAACUCCUUUGGGAAAUAUAUCCAGGGAUUUAACCUUGGGAGCUUUUAUUAAUGGAUUGAAAGAAGACACUAAGUGUGAGCUGAGAUUAAUGGACCCUAGUAGCCUUAGGAUGGCCAUUAAAUUGGCUGAAAAAAUACACCAAAAAAAUAAGGCCAAAAAUCAUUUUGGCAGACAACAGGAGAUAAACCGUUUUGGGCCUUAUAACCCAAAAACCUUUUCAAAACUCUACCCACAAACAUAGACCCAAUGAACACAAAUCAUCAUCCAUCUUUUUAUCCUACUUAUAGCCCUAAUACACCAAACUAGAAAAAUACUAUUGGGAAUCAUGGGAGGCAACUCAGUGGGAGAGAACUUGGAGAAAAAGAGAUCCAAGGGUCUUUGUUUUAAGUUUGAUGAAAUGUGGUCCUUAACCCACAUAUGUAAAACCGAGAAAUGAGGAUUAUUCUGAUAGAACAGUCGGAGGAUGAGGACAGGGAUGAGAGAGAAAUUGAGGAAGAACUCCUGUCGGAGCAAUAGGAUCCGUUGGCUGGAAUAACAUUGCAGUCUUUAAUAGGGUUUACCAAACUCCAGCUGGCCUCCUCCAACCUUUCCCCAUUGCCACUUGAGUUUGGGAGCAUAUACCUAAGGAUUUUGUGGAGGGUCUUCCAAAAUCCUAAGGCCCUGAAAUAGUUUUAGUGGGUUUAGACAGGUUUACCAAAUAUGCUCAUUUUUUGGGUUUGAAGCAUCCGUUCACAGGAAUAAAUGCGCAUAAAUGUGGCAGCUUUUUUGUCAAUGAACUAGUGACACUACAUGGGUUUCUUUCUUUCAUUGUUUCGGAUCGGGACUGGAUUUUUUUUUUGUACGUUUUAGAGGCAGUUAUUUCAGUAGCUGGGUACCAAACCGGUUUGUAGUACUGCUUUCCAUCCUUAAACCAAUGGACAAACUGAGAUUGUCAACAAAGCACUAGAAAACAAUGGGCCAAAUGGAGACCUUGUUAUUAUACUUCUCCUUAUUCACUAUGCGAAUGCGAAACGUUGUGGCCUCUCUUUUAAUAAUGGAGACCUUGUUCUUCUCAAACUUCAGCCUUACUGGCAGAAGUCAUUGGCCCUCACACUAAAUGAAAAAUUGGCUCCUUGCUAUUUUGUUCCUGACCAUAUUCUCUAUAAGGUUGGUAAGGUGGCCUACAAAUUAGAGCUGCCUGCAUCCAACCUCAUCCAUCCAGUAUUCCACGUGUCUCAACGCAAGCUAGCUCAUGGGUUUACUGCUCCUACUGAUGCACCUCCUCCACUUUCAGAGGAUAUGGUUAUGUAGACUACCACCAGCAAACAUCCUGGUCAUCUGACAUUCCAUACCAUCUCAACCUGAAGUCUUGGUUCAAUGGCAAGGUUUACUUGAAGCAGCCAUCACCUGGGAAAAUUAUCACAAGCUUCGGUCAGCAGUUCCUUCUUAUCACCUUGAGGACAAGGUGUGUCUUCUGGGCGAAGGUAUUGUUAUGCCAGCAGAGGGUCCACUGUCUAUCAUAGAAGAGGAAAAGAGGGUGAGGUGGCAAUGAAUAUGAGACACCUAGAAGUACAAACUACAAUUAUCUGAAAGAAAGAAGAAUGAGAAAAGAACAGUCACAAAAGAAAACAAUGUUUGAAUAGUGCAGGUUUUGAGUAUUGCGACUCCCAAAUUCUUAUUCCAGUUAUUACUCAAUGUCUUUCUAAUACAAUGCUUGACUAUUUAUACAAAAUGACUAUUAUUGGCUACCUUAUGGAACAAUCACAAAAGAUCAUCCUGCCUUAUUCUAAAAACAAUACAUUGACCACAUAUAUUAUACUUUUCCUCAUUCGAACCUCCUUGAUCAUCUUUCCUCCUUCGUCUGUAAUAGGUCUUCAAGAUUGGUUCCUUAUUCUCCUUACUUCCCAUAGGAGGUAUGACAAUACCCCCCUCCAAAAUAUGCACCUUGUUCUGAAGGUGAGAAUGAUAAAAGGUCUUGAAGAAUUUCUCACAAGCUUCCCAUGUGGCUUUCGAAAUAUGCAUUCCUUCCCAAGCUACUAAGAUUUCCUUCGGAUGUGAAUCUGUUGAACUUGGAGGAUGUCUAUGGGUUUCUGGACUUUCUCCAGAUUUUCUGUUAGGGGAGGUGUUGUAGCUGCUGUCUCCUGUGUUCCUACAGCUUUUUUAAGUUGGGAUACGUGAAAUACUGGAUGUAUGAGGCAACCAUCUGGAAGGUACAGCUUAUAAGCCACCUUGCCUAUUUGUUGGAGCACCUUAUAUGGACCAAAAUAGCAUAAAGCAAGCUUCUCAUUUUUAUUCGAACAAUGUCUAUUCCCUGAACAUGUAACUGGACUUGGCGGCGAACUCCUUGUUCCUUAUCUCCGCCCCAUUUCCCAACACUACACCAAAUUUAUCACAUACCUCACACGGAAUUUCGAACUUCUAGACAGCAAGGGUUGAAAUUGAGUUAUUCGUGGCACCCGGGUCGAUCAACACAAUCACUUCUUCGUUUCUGGUUUUGCCUACUAGCUUCAUUGUUUUUGGAUUGUCUAUUCCAACCACUGAGUUCAAAGAAAUAUUGAUGGUGUCUCUGUCAUCCUCUUUGUCGACUUGUUCAACCAAUACAUCCUCCGUUGCAUCCGCCUCCUCUUCGUCCACCCCAAUCAACACAUUCAUCUCUUUCUUGCUACUAACAUGAUUGACCAACCAUUUUCCAUCACAUUGAAAACAUAAUCCUUUCGGUCGUUUUUCCCUAAACUCCUCGGACAAUCGUCGUAGUCAAUUGUCAUGAAGGGUUGGGAAGGGGUAUUAUAGGAAUUAAGUAAUAAAUAAUACUUAGUAAUUAGUUAAGUGGGGGAAUAAAAUGUAGAGAUAAUUAGUAUAAAUAGAGGGGAAGGGAAGGGAAUUAUGCAUUCAUUCAAGUAAUAAUUUUAAGAGGAGUUUUAUACUCAUUGGGAGAGAACAAGCCUCUCGAAUGCUUGUAUACUAUCUUUUGUAAUCGUUCUUUAUUUACAUUCAAUCUUUCACUAUACAUUUACAUUUUUCAUACAAAUUGAUUACUCUCAUAUACAUUUCUGUUUCGCCAUUAGUAAACUCAUCUCAUGGCUAAGUCAGUCCAUGACAAUUGGUAUCAGAGACGUUCGAUUCUUGGUGAUCGAAGACACGUGGGAGACCGAGAUAUUCCAAAUUUGCAUUCUGAUGGUGUUCUUGAGUCCAAGAACAGUAGCUGUCGAGGUCAGAGUAUUGCUGGAGUUCAACAAUGUCAGAAAUCUGCCAUACUUAAGUCUUUGAAUCGUAUGGAGGAGUUAGUUUCACAGAUAAUAAACAUCAUUGACAAGCAAUCUCAGAUUAUGAGAGAACUUUCCAGACAAUAUAACACUGAUCUGGAACAAAUCAGAAACAAGUAUUUAGAGAAAAAGAAAGCAACAGAUGCUUCGUGGGAGACUGCUAUCCAGAAAAUGCCUAAGCAAGAUUCGAAGGCAGCUCAUAAUGAAAAGCACGUUGUAGAUCUGGAAGGCUAUGACAAGGUCGUUGAGCAGGAAGAAGAACAUGAGGAUUCAAUUGCAACUGAGGUGGCAAAAUGCGAAUAUUGGAGCAAAUUGUUACCGAUACAGUCAACAUUUUUGAAAAUCUUGAGAGAAGAGAGCACAAAUUUUCGGUCAGAAACUUUUGACGGAUAUGACUUCAAGCAUGGAGAUUGUAUGUCGGCCGGAAACUCUAGAGAAGAGGUAUACAGAAGCGCUCGAAUGUUGAUCAUAAAAUCACAAGAAGCUGUGUCCUUAGAAUUUAGGAAAAAGAAACACAAAAGGUGGAGAGUAAUAGUGCGACGGCAGAAGAAACCGAGGAAGGACACCGUACCUACGGGUUUCCUGAUGGCACAGAAAAUUCUCGGUGGACGUAGAGGAGAAGAUUCACCGACGCAGAGGCAAAUGUGGUGGUGGAGGAAGCUUUGCAACCAUGGAGGAGAGGAGACGCUGGCACUGGUGAUACAAAACAAGGGCUGAUUAUGGCCUUUGUGAUGUAAAGAUUAAUAUUGUUCCACAAUAUCAAUCAAUAUCAUUCACAAACAAUCACAAUCAAUCAACCAAAAGGACUCGGACAAUCACAAAACGUUCAAGAAGGAACUUCUUGAUUUUCUAAUUAUAGUGACUGGGGGUCUUUAGCCAGCUUUCUGAUUACUCUAACGAUAUGCACAAUACAAGGUCUUCCAGGCCUUGAUUGUAUGGUUCCCUUGAGAAUCCAAAUCACUCCGUAAUUCUUCAACUCUCAGGCCAAGGGUGCUCCGCAACCUUGAUGAAGUUUGCAAACAAACUUCAAAGAACAGAAAAAUCUUUUUUCUGAAUUACCUCUAUGGUAUUGAUCAACUUCAAUUAUCAAAACGUGAAUUGUUCUAUUACAUGCCUGGGACUCUCUUUAUAUAGAGUCCCUAACUAUCAUAACGGCUACAAAUGACACGAGCCUUAUUUAAAAUACACGUGCUAAAACAAGACGCUUAAUAACAGCCAAAACAGAAACAACUAAGACUUAGACAAAUUCUGGUUCUGAUCAUCUGUCGACCAGCCUUCCUUCAGCAUGGGUUCUAGAAUUCCUGAUGGACUAUUAGCAUGAUCCUAGACCCUUGAUGGCUUGGUCCAUGUGGUGAGAUGACGUCCCAGCCCUCCUCCUGGUUCGAGUGGUUCUGGUCUGAGCUCAAGAGGCUCAGCAAGGUCUGCUGUCUGACAGGGGGCUCUGGUUCUUUGAAUCUGUUGUCUGUCUGAUCUUUCAUAUCCAUGAUGCCUGAUUUUGUUGUUUGCUGGCCUUCCUCAAGCCCAUUUCGUGUACUUAGGCUUAUAAUUGACCCUUGAGAAACGUCAGGGGUUGACCCUUGCCCUUCAUGAGCAUUUGGCGUAGAUGUUAAGUCUGACACACUGUUUUGUACUUGUGCAAUGCUUGUAUAAGUUUUCUCACUUGAAACAUUCGUUUCAACUAGUGCGCUUGAGGUGGUUUAGGGAGCUACGCACCCGCAGAGGGGAAAAGACGGGCAGUAAGAGGUGGUGACACAGAGAGAAAACCUCAUGGAAGUCACAAAAUCUGGGUACAACCAUUCUGAUGUAGACAACCAUGGUAGCAGCGGCACCAGAGAAGUCAUCGGCGGUGGGGAGAGCAGGUCUCAUUUUGUGAGGGAAGUGGGGGUCAUUGAAAUUAGGGCAAACGCAAGGAGAGAUGUUGCUAUUUUGAUAUUUGUAGUGGAAGACAACUAUUCUGAUCAAUUUGCUGGAUGGUUUUGAAAUUUAUGGUUAGGGGUAAGGAAGUAAUUGGCUCAAUUUAUGAAAUUACUGCUGAUGUCAUCAACUCAAUUUUUAGUCUAAUUUUAAUCUUUGGCACAAGGCUUCAUUAUAACCAGCUUCCAUUUGGCGCUACUCAUAUUUCACCUUCAACAAUUUCUUUGGGUCUACUCCUAAUUCUCGUGGUCUUGGCUCGAAUUACUUUCUUCCCACCUUGAGGACAAGGUGGAUUUUUUAGGGGCCAGUAUGUCAUGAAAGGCUGGUAUGGGGUAUUAUAGGAAUUAAGUAAUAAAUAAUACUUAAUAAUUAGUUAAGUGGGGGAAUAAAAUGUAGAGAUAAUUAGUAUAAAUAGAGGGGAAGGGAAGGGAAUUAGGCAUUCAUUCAAGUAAUAGUUUUAAGAGGAGUUUCAUACUCAUUGGGAGAGAACAAGCCUCUCGAAUGCUUGUAUACUAUUUUUUUGUAAUCGUUCUUUGUUUACAUUCAAUCUUUCACUAUACAUUUACAUUUUCCAUACAAAUUGAUUAAUCUCAUAUACAUUUCUGUUUCGCCAUUCGUAGACUCAUCUCAUGGCUAAGUCAGUCCAUGACACCAAUCUCCUAAAAAUCCAUUUGGGUUAUGUUCAAGGUUCUUGGGUCGAUACGAAACUGGGUUGUGGGAAAUUUGUUUUUGGCUGGUUAUUAAAUUGGUAGAGGAAAGGUUAUUUUGGUAAUUUGAGUGGUUAGGGCUUUUUUGUGAAUAAAUUUUGGGUUGGACUAUUCUUUUUCCUAACCAAGAUUGGGCUGCCAGUUUUUGAUCUAUUUUCUCAACCUAAUUCAUGGCUUGUUGAAGAGUGGUGGGUCCUAAUACCCUCAAGAAUGCUCCCAACAUAACUGACUCAGCCAUCUUCUGCAUAUGCGUCAACUUCGUGACAAAUUCUUUCCGAUGCUCCGCCACCGACUUCUAUGUUCAAUGGACAUCCAUGGCUCGUGUAAAUCCCCUUCGUCCCAUGGCCGAAAAUAUCUAAGAAUCUAGUUCUUUAAAUCUGGCCAAUUUGUUAAAGGUGAUCUUUCAUCCUCCCAUUGACACCAAAUGAAUGCUUCUUCUUCAAAACAUAAUACUGGUAAUUUCACCUUACGAAACUGCCCGUUCGAUCCUCCUUCCUGGAAAUUUCUGUCCCCUUGAGAUGAUUGGACAUCCCUCCCAUUUCUUGUUUGCCAAUCCGCUUUCUGUCCCUCAUGCUUCAUCAUUUUUUUUUGUCCGACUUGUUUCUUUGUCAGAGAUUGAUUUUCCUGCCCCAUUUCAAUCAAUUUCGCCUGGCCUUCCAUCAAAAUGGCGAGAACCCGGUCGAUGUUAUCUUUUUUUGGGUGAAUCUUGCCUCUGCCGCCGCCACCUCUAAUCGGACUUGAUUAGAGAAAUCCUUCAAUCGCUCUAAACUUUUCUCUUACUGCUUCAAUCGUUGCUGUGUGUUUGCGCUUCCCAUGGCUCGAUUAUUUCUCUGAUACCAGUUGAGACACACCCAGAUUUUCAAACUACAAUUAUCUGAAAGAAAGAAGAAUGAGAAAGAUUCAAGAAAAGAAAGAAAGAAAACAAUGUCUGAAUAGUGUAGGCUUCGAGUACUGCGACUCAAAUUAUUAUUCCAAUUAUUUCUCAAAUGUCUUUCUAAUACAAUGCUUGACUAUUUAUACAAAAUGACUAUUACUGGCUACCUAAAUGAACAGUCACAAAAGACCAUCCUGCCUUAUUCUAAAAUAAUGCAUUUAUUUAUAUCAUCUUUCCUCCUCCGUCUGUAAUAGGUCUUCAAGAUUGGUUCCUUAUUCUCCGUACUUCCGAUAGGAGGUAUGACAGAAUACAAAGGGGGGAUGAAUGAUGUAACAAAAUUUUGAUGAGGAUAUUCUAGAAUGAGCAUCUUUUGUAGCCAACUUAGUUUUGGCAACAAGUUGUUAUAGCUUGAACAACCUAUAUAUACUCAUAUGUAAUAAUUGGUUCAAUCAUCAAUGAAUAUACUCACAAUGAUUCCCUCAUGAUCCCUCUCUCUUUCUUAAAUUCUCUUUUCAAAUUCUGAUCUUCUGUCUAUCGCCUUCUCUUUUAUUUCUUCUAUCUCCUCUCUGUUUCUUUCUAAAUUCCCUUCUGAAUUCUUUGUUACAGGGCCUGUUUCACCACACUAACCUUAAAUCUGAAGCUUACAUACAACAUAUAUGUGAAGGAUUUCUUACUUAAUUGGAUUGGUGACGUGUGCCAUCAAAAUAAUUGUAAGGUGUUGAGAUAUAUUGUGCGCCCACAGCUGAUUCAAGGGAGGUUUGGCAAGCUUCAAUGACCCAUAUUGCUCUUGAAGGUGGAUGUUUUGUUCUGUCAGCUAACCAGUUCUGUCGAAGGAAAGAUUAUCCUCCAUCCC